rnacentral:rRNA from 1 species
AUUGAACGCUGGCGGCAGGCCUAACACAUGCAAGUCGAGCGAGCGGCGGAUGGGUGCGAAAUGUCUGGGAAUUGCCCAGUCGAGGGGGAUAACAGUUGGAAACGAACGCUAAUAACGCAUACGCUUGGAUUGGCCAGGGUGGAUUAGUUAGUUGGGGGGGUAAGGGCACCCCAAGGCGACGAUCCCUAGCGGGUCUGAGAGGAUGAUCAGCCACACUGGAACUGAGACACGGUCCAGACUCCUACGGGAGGCAGCAGUGGGGAAUAUUGCACAAUGGGGGAAAGCCUGAUGCAGCCAUGCCGCGUGUGUGAAGAAGGCCUUCGGAUUGUAAAGCACUUUCAGCGAGGAGGCGUUACUCGCAGAAGAAGCACCGGCUAACUCCGUGCCAGCAGCCGCGGUAAUAC